UCAAAAAAACAUAGAACCAGUGAAGAGAAGGGUGAAGCGGGACAGAUACAACAAUAAAACAUUGUUGUGUUGUUCCGUAGCAAUGCACAGGCAGUCAGCUAGUUGACUCAAAAAAGAAAAACAAUCCUCCACAGUCCACACCACGGUCGUUCGGCGGCGCUGCUCCACUCCACUCCCCCCAAAAUCCUCCACCCAAACCCCAAUCCGGCGACGCGACGGCGGCGGCCCAAUCCCCGCUCACGAUGAGCCCCCCACCGCCGCAGCGCGGCCGCCACUCGCCGCCGGCGCUGGACGACGACGCCAUGAGCGAGAUCUUCCUGCGCAUCCCGCCGGACGACCCCAAGAGCCUCGUCCGCGCCGCCGCCGUCUGCGCGACCUGGCGCCGCAUCCUCUCCGACGCCGCCUUCGCCCGCGGCUACCGCGCCUUCCACGGGGCGCCGCCCAUGCUGGGCUUCCUCCACAACGAGAGCCACGAGAGGUCGUGGGGCAGGGGGCGGCGCAGGCGCCACGAGGAGUACCUGGUCUCCAACUUCGUCUCCACCGCGUCCUUCCGCCCGCCGGCGUGCCACGAGCGCCGCCACUGGCCCGCCAUCGACUCCCGCCACGGCCUCGUCCUCUUCCACACGCCCAAGAGGUGCGAGGACUUUGUCAUCUGCGACCUCGUCACCUACGACCGGUGGAGGAUCAAGGCCGACCCCGCCUGCCGUCGCAUCAUCUGGAAUGGCCGGUUUGAUGAGGACUGGGGCGACUACGAGGAUGAGGACGACGACGUCACCUGGAACGCCGCGGUGCUCUGUGCCAAGGACGGCUGCGAGCACCUCUACUGCCACGGCGGGCCUUUCCUCGUGGCCCUCGUGGGCUCCGACAGGGGACGGCAGAUAACAUUUGCCACCGUCUACUCAUCGGCGACUCGUAAGUGGAGCGGCAUGAUCUCCGUCAAGGAAUGGAAUGUCGUCGAGAUGACCGGGCACAAUGCAGUUGUGGGAAACAAGGCCUAUUUCCCCUGUGAGCAGAGCGACAGUGUCGUGGAGUAUGACAUGGGUGAGCAAAAACUGUCGGUGAUAGGUGCGCCGUUCGGCAGACUGGUGGGAGCGGAGGGCGGCCUGCUCCUGUUCGCAACUGUGCUGAAGCCUAGGCUCCACCUCCACAUAUGGUCAAUGGAGGUCCGUCCUGAUAGAACUACGGCUUUGGCGCGACGCAGGAUCAUUGAGCUCGCACCAAAGCUCUCUGGUUAUGCCUUCUUGGACGUGUCGGUGGUUGGCUUUGCAGAAGGUGUUGGUGUCAUCUUCCUGAGCACAAAGGCUGGGUUGUACACAGUUGAGCUCAGUUCGAGCCGAAUCAAGAACAUGGACAGAGAGCGAAGCCUCGGAAAAAUCAUGCCAUACAUGUGCUUCUACACUAGAGAAUGGGGGCGGUUGCCGACCUCUGACUGAACUUCUCGCACGGUUGUUGGCGCUGCAGCAAUGUAAUCAAAUGACGUCAAGAUGAUCAGUCCGUUUACUUUUGCUGCCUGGGAAGAAUUUGAAGUGAACUUCGGUGUCUUCUGUUGCUGGUUGUGUUGGACAGUUUGGUUAGAAUGGAUGCACUUUUGGCCUAUGUGUGCUUGUGCCAAAACUUGAGUUUGUUCGUCCGAGCUACGUUGUGUCUGUAGCCCCAGCAGGGAUUGCUUCACCUAAUGAAUGUACCUAAAUUUUCAGAAGACGAAGAUAUCUAUGUGGUGAUAAGCUGGGCUGAGUCGAUCUUUGGAAGGGCAUUCUAUAUUUCUGUGUUGUGCAGUGCUCGAAGACAAGCCCAUGUCGUUUGCGGGGGUGGUUUCAUAAAUUGUAUCAAGACCGAGAUGCUAGAAUGACUAGUUGUUCUGUAAAACUAGCCAUUAAACUUGAGUAUUGGUGCAGCUACUGCACAACCUCUUUUGAUGACAUUUUGACGUCGCACAAUAGGGGC